AUGUUUGCCAAAGGUCAGUUCUUGAUGGUUAUGCGAGCAGAGGGUUGCAGUUUGGGCAUACUCUCCCUGUCAGAAUUCAGGGCUGAGUCAUGGAAGAGGAAUAUCAACAGUGAUGGUGUUGUUUCAUGGGUGCUGGGACAAACUUUUGAACUGGACAAGCUACUUCCCCUGUCUUCAGAUAAGACAAGCUACAUAUCGAUGCUAGCUUACGCUGAGGAAAAUAAUGUGGCUUUCUUGCGUACAGUUGCCGGUAUCUUCAUGGUCCACCUUGAGUCAUUGCAGUUCAGUAAACUUCCUGAAAGCAACAACGCUAUUGUCUGUUAUCCAUUUGAAAGUGUCUAUGCUGCAGGCAUUGGUGGUGCCAUGUAG
rnacentral:rRNA from 1 species